rnacentral:rRNA from 1 species
AGGAAUAUUGGUCAAUGGGCGCAGGCCUGAACCAGCCAAGUAGCGUGAAGGAUGACUGCCCUAUGGGUUGUAAACUUCUUUUAUAAAGGAAUAAAGUCGGGUAUGUAUACCCGUUUGCAUGUACUUUAUGAAUAAGGAUCGGCUAACUCCGUGCCAGCAGCCGCGGUAAUACGGAGGAUCCGAGCGUUAUCCGGAUUUAUUGGGUUUAAAGGGAGCGUAGAUGGAUGUUUAAGUCAGUUGUGAAAGUUUGCGGCUCAACCGUAAAAUUGCAGUUGAUACUGGAUAUCUUGAGUGCAGUUGAGGCAGGCGGAAUUCGUGGUGUAGCGGUGAAAUGCUUAGAUAUCACGAAGAACUCCGAUUGCGAAGGCAGCCUGCUAAGCUGCAACUGACAUUGAGGCUCGAAAGUGUGGGUAUCAAACAGGAUUAGAUACCCUGGUAGUCCACACGGUAAACGAUGAAUACUCGCUGUUUGCGAUAUACUGCAAGCGGCCAAGCGAAAGCGUUAAGUAUUCCACCUGGGGAGUACGCCGGCAACGGUGAAACUCAAAGGAAUUGACGGGGGCCCGCACAAGCGGAGGAACAUGUGGUUUAAUUCGAUGAUACGCGAGGAACCUUACCCGGGCUUAAAUUGCAGAUGAAUUACGGUGAAAGCCGUAAGCCGCAAGGCAUCUGUGAAGGUGCUGCAUGGUUGUCGUCAGCUCGUGCCGUGAGGUGUCGGCUUAAGUGCCAUAACGAGCGCAACCCUUGUUGUCAGUUACUAACAGGUUUUGCUGAGGACUCUGACAAGACUGCCAUCGUAAGAUGUGAGGAAGGUGGGGAUGACGUCAAAUCAGCACGGCCCUUACGUCCGGGGCUACACACGUGUUACAAUGGGGGGUACAGAGGGCCGCUACCACGCGAGUGGAUGCCAAUCCCAAAAACCUCUCUCAGUUCGGACUGGAGUCUGCAACCCGACUCCACGAAGCUGGAUUCGCUAGUAAUCGCGCAUCAGCCACGGCGCGGUGAAUACGUUCCCG